rnacentral:lncRNA from 1 species
UGAGGCUUGUCCCUCACCCCAAAAUGUCUCUCACCCGAUGGUGGAUGGAGGGGGGCACUGGUCCCUGGGACAGGCUGACCAAGCCCCUACCAGGUCCCUGUGCCCUGCUGGCAUUCCCAGGAUGGUUGGAGCGGCCCAGCUGGGAGUGGGGCUCUGGCUGGGGCUGAUGCUGUGUUCUGGCUGGAGCCUGUCCCUCCACAGCCCCAAGGCAGAUCUCCCAGGAAAUGUCACCCUGCUUUCCUGUGUCACCAUCUGGACCCAAAGCAUCACCUGUUCCUGGGACCCCGGGCCAGAUCCCGGCAUCCCCACCACGUAUACUCUGCACGUCCGCGAGGAAUUUGGACGCUGCCGGGCCCCUUUCCGAGACACAGGCCUCUGCUCUGCCCCGUGGGCCCACAGCACCUGCUCUGUCACCAUCAGGAACAUCUUCGCCUUCUACAGGGCCUGGGUCAUCGGGGAGAAUCAGCUGGGACAGACGGUUUCCCCGGCUAUGUGCCUGCAGGGCAUGAGCGUCGUGAGGCUGAGCCGACCCGAACUCAGUGCUGCCGCCCGCGAGACCUGCUGCCUGAAGCUGGUCUGGCAGCUGCCCCCGGGGGAGCUGCUGGUGGCUGGCGAAGCGCAGUACCAACUCCGCUACAGGGCUGGGCCGGAGGCUCCGUGGGUGCAGGUGGGGGUUCCCGCACCUUGGGGGAGGGGUGGAAAUAGAGGAUACCCCUGA